rnacentral:lncRNA from 1 species
UUCAGUGAAGAUAGGAAGUAAAGGAAACUUCCAUGAAGACUUGAACAGUAGGGCAAUUGGGAUCUCACCAGCCCGAGUUAAAUAAUAUUUCCAGUGAGCAUGACUUGACCCUGUGCCUGGUUACCGAGCAGU